AGUGAACGCUGGCGGUAGGCCUAACACAUGCAAGUCGAACGGCAGCGCAGUAAGAGCUUGCUCUUACGGGUGGCGAGUGGCGGACGGGUGAGGAAUACAUCGGAAUCUACUUUUUCGUGGGGGAUAACGUAGGGAAACUUACGCUAAUACCGCAUACGACCUACGGGUGAAAGCAGGGGAUCUUCGGACCUUGCGCGAUUGAAUGAGCCGAUGUCGGAUUAGCUAGUUGGCGGGGUAAAGGCCCACCAAGGCGACGAUCCGUAGCUGGUCUGAGAGGAUGAUCAGCCACACUGGAACUGAGACACGGUCCAGACUCCUACGGGAGGCAGCAGUGGGGAAUAUUGGACAAUGGGCGCAAGCCUGAUCCAGCCAUACCGCGUGGGUGAAGAAGGCCUUCGGGUUGUAAAGCCCUUUUGUUGGGAAAGAAAAGCAGCAGGUUAAUACCCCGCUGUCCUGACGGUACCCAAAGAAUAAGCACCGGCUAACUUCGUG
rnacentral:rRNA from 1 species